CACACAUACAGGAAGUGAAUAUAUCAGGCUGAGAGUACUUAAACCCCCCUGCCCAGCAUGAUGUUACACUGCUGUUCAGGAGAGGCUGCUACUAUUCAAAAAAUUGAUUGUGGGACUAAUUAUACCGUAAAAAUCGGUUUUUGGCCCCUACUUUGAUUGACAUGAAGCCCUGAUGAAGUCCUUGGGACGAAACGCGUCGGGUAGUGUUUCUUGUGAAAACAUCAGACAUCCUGUAUAAUACACCAUUUGAUGGGAUACAUUGUCUGUUAUCAUGUCUGCAAUAACAUUGUAAACUGUAUUUUUAUUAUAUUUACCAUUGGAUUUUCAUGUAAUAAUCUCCGUUCACUAAAAGUAUGAUGUACUUGGUGAAUAUGUGAAUAAAAUCUAUUGUUUUUAUCA